rnacentral:lncRNA from 1 species
ACAGGGAGACAGAGCCUCAAACCUGAGACAAGGCCAGCCUGAACAGAAGCUGGACAGAUGCUAGGUAUUCACUGGGCACAACCCCUGGAGGCCAUGUAGGGAAGCACCCACAAGCACCCACAUUUGCAUGGUGUUCUAUAAACCUCAAAGCAUCUCGGCCUAUGUUUCAGCAUUUGCCUAAUACCACCCUUUGAGGUAGAUAGAGCAGGUAUGCCCUUUAUCUUUCUCAUUUUACAGACGAGAAACCCAAGGUUUCAGCAGUUUCUAUAACUUGCCCAAGGUCACAGAGCUAGUGAGAUGCAGAGUUGGGGUUCAAACCCACUUCUUCCGGCCUCCAGUCCAGUACCCUUUCCACCAUGCCCUGUUAACAAGCAUCUUUCCACUGAAGCUUCUCCUGAGGCUGAGGAGGAGAUAAGAUUCCGUUCAAGGUUAACCACAGCCUCUGAGUUGGAAGGACUGGGGUGGGGGCUGACCUAUCUGGACUGGAUUGUUGAUUUAGUGCUAGCUUGACCCCUUCAAUUAGCUGCUGGACAGAGCCAGGCCCAGGAGAGAUGAACAGCAGGGCUUAAUGGAAAUGGGGAUGCUGGUGAUGAUAUGAACAAUCUGAAUUAUGGUCUCAAUUUGCACAGAGCCUGAUAGAUUUGCAAUAAUUCCAAACCAGGUCAAGUGUCUGUGUCUCCUCUUUUGCUGAUCUCACACAAGGUAUCUCCAUUUGUCAGGCUCCGACUCCCUCUCUCCCAGAAGCUGCCCGCCCCCUCUUCCCCCCUGCUUUUGCAAAGUUUUCUGAGUUCCAUCUGCAGUACUCUGACCUGAGGGCACCUCUACAGCUGGGCCCAGAGGGACUGAAGCUGCUACUAGCAUGGCACGGUCCUGGGAGCUUUGAGGACACCCACAGAGACAGACGGUGCACACCGAGGGUUCCGCUGCUCAGGAACAGGCAUGGAGAAGAAAGUUGCACUUAGAAGCCCAACAGGAGUUUUGCAAGACAAAAGUUUAAUGAAAGGAGAGAAGAGCACAGAAACUGAAGUUGACCACCUGCACUCCUCCUUGGCCAACCUCGACAGAAAUCUAGAAUUCAAGGAACCAUUGCUGUGAUCCAUCAAGUCAGCCCCAGGAAAGAGAGCAGAGCUGAGAGGGCUGGAGAGAGAAUCUGGAGGAGCAAACGGAAAAUACCUGACUGGGUACCAACAUCCAGGAGAGGAUCCCUGUGUGUCAAGGAUCCUCAGAGGGACAACUAAUGCAUAACAACAGAUAAUGGGUCCACACUCCUUUCUGCCUCCUCCUGAUCGCAAAACCCACUACACACAUGUAAAUGCACCACACACACACAUGCCCACUACACACAGAUAUAUAUAUAUAGAUACACAUCCACACACAUAGGGAUACACAUACAUAGGGAUACACAUACACACAUACAUACAUGCACACAUUGCACAUGUGCACAAUGCAACAUACAUGCAUGUACACAUAUAAGCACACAUACAUAUGUGAACACAUGCACACACACAUACCCACACUUAAUCAUAGUCUGCACAUGGUAUCACUGCACACUGCUCAGGCUCCUCCAGAUCAGUCAGAAAUUAUAGGAGAUAAAACCAACAGAAUUUAAACAAAGACAAGAAAGACCUGGAAUGAUGUGCAGACUUGUCUAAUUAUUGCUAUUUUUAGAACUCAUACUGCAAGUGGUAGAAAAGAAUGGGGGUGGGGGCUGCUGACCAAAGAGAUUGCUUCAUUAUUGGAAACAGAAGAUAAGUAGGCUGAAGAGGGUGAUUGGAAAGUUGAGAACAGGGAGGCAGUUCUUCCCCUCUCCCCUCCACCCCCAUGUCUCCCUCUCCCAUUCCAGGAGCUGAGCACUAGGAGAAAGAAGGGCACAUGAGACCAGAUGAUGGAAGCUGACCUGGCUUUCCACUCUGGCUACAGACUUUCUGGAUGUGUGACCUCGAAUAUGUUCCUGAGGGCCACCUCUAGCCUAUAAGGUGUCUUUGUGCAAAUAGAAGACACCCCUUUGCACAAGUAAAUAAGAGAAUAUUCUGGUUGGAUGCAGCAUCUCAUAGUUCCUGAUCUGGCAAACAGUGCAUGGCUGAAUUUCCACCCUCCCAACAGUACAUUUGUGCAGCAUCCCAGCUACCCAACCACAUGCAGCAAGCAGGUGUCACUUCACAUCUGUAGACCCCUGCUUGUCCUCUCCAUAAGUGAAGAUAAUAUCUGCAAAACAGGGAGAUCCAACACAGGAGACAAAAUGCAAGGCGAGAACCAAUAAUUAAAAAAAAGAAAAAGUCAUUCAAGGUCUUAGGGUGCAGGCCACCCAGGACAAAGACUGGGAGGAGCAUGGGUUCUCUGCCACAUGUGAGGGGGCAGUGAAGACCAAUUCUGAUUGAUAUCUUAGAGUAGGAAGUUGGAGGAUUUAGGGAUACCCAGUGACUGAAUUCUAGGUUACAUCAUCGCUAUCAUUAAUUUCUUGACAUAGAAGCUGACCAGCUCUCAGCAUUUCGUAAUCAUUGCAGAGUGCAGGCUAGGGGCUCUGGGGCUCCAGCCCUGCCAGUCUGUAAUUGAUGUAGGUUAACUCUAUUCUCCAGUUUCCUCAUCUGUAGAAUCAGGUAACUGAUGUACUUCUUUCACAGAGGAAUUACAAAAAUAAAACAGAAUAAUAUCUGUGAAA